GACGAACGCNGGCGGCGUGCCUAAUACAUGCAAGUAGAACGCUGAAGGGAGAGCUUGCUCUUCUGGAUGAGUUGCGAACGGGUGAGUAACGCGUAGGUAACCUGCCUGGUAGCGGGGGAUAACUAUUGGAAACGAUAGCUAAUACCGCAUAACAUUGACUAUUGCAUGAUAGUUAAUUGAAAGGUGCAAAUGCACCACUACCAGAUGGACCUGCGUUGUAUUAGCUAGUUGGUGGGGUAACGGCUCACCAAGGCGACGAUACAUAGCCGACCUGAGAGGGUGAUCGGCCACACUGGGACUGAGACACGGCCCAGACUCCUACGGGAGGCAGCAGUAGGGAAUCUUCGGCAAUGGACGGAAGUCUGACCGAGCAACGCCGCGUGAGUGAAGAAGGUUUUCGGAUCGUAAAGCUCUGUUGUAAGAGAAGAACGAGUGUGAGAGNGGAAAANUCACAC
rnacentral:rRNA from 1 species